AGCAACGUGUAAUCUCUGCCCAAGGUAGGAGAUGAACUCACACACACAAGAUAGAAGAAGAGCACACAAGAGUUUUGGCACCGCACAACUUGUGCCUUUUCUGACUCUCUUUCUCUUAAGCAAAUGAACUUGUUAGACAGCCUAUUAGUAGUGCACGUACACAAGCCAGUCACACCACAACUAGCUCCACUAGCCGGUACAAAUGGCCACUAGUAAUCCCAUGACUUGGCCACACGACUCGGCCGAUCUCCCCAUGUCUUGGAGAUAAGGACUGAUUACUAGGAUCACUUCUAAGCCAAUCUACCAACAAACUCUAUCCAUGCAUGUACGUGUGAUUCACUCCUCCUACUAUCCAGGCUUGCAACUAACUAACUCUUGGAUGCAGACUCACACGCAUACUUGGUGCCAUACAUGCACAACACCAAGCUGACACCUCUAAACACGACUAACAAGCUUUGCAAUGUGUACACGUGACCACAUUUAUAAGUGUGCACAUGCCGCAGCUUCAUCUACAUGCAAGACUCGGAAAUAAAACAUGAUAAGAAACUAAACAACAAUGGUUAACACCAACAAUCACCCCCUUAACCUUGUUGUGCUUUAUUGAGAACUCCAUGGCGACCUUCAGUACAGCCCCGACUUGUUGUCGGCGAGAAGCGCCCGCUCCUUCUUUGGCUUGAUACAGUCCCUGGAGUAAUGCCCGUACUCUUGGCAAGUGUAGCAGCGGACCUUGCAAAUGUCGAAGUUUCUCUUCUUCUUGCCGGUGCCGCUGCGGUAGCAAGCAAGCCACUCCUCCUCCGUGAGGAGCAGGCGACUCCCACCACCGUGGUCGUAGUUGCUGGCGCCCUCGUCCAAUUCGCUCCGGUCCUCCGCCGUUUUGAGCCUUCCCACAAGCUCUUCCAUGGAUAUGGUUUUAAGAUCAAGAAGCUGCUCAAUGGCAAUAGCUACCUGGGUAUACUUGGACGGCACGAUGCGGAGAAGCUUCUUCACGACCUUCACCUUGUCGAGGUUCUCGCCGUGCCUGCGCAGCUUGUUAGCGAUCCCGUUCAUGCGCAUGGCGAGCUCGUCGAGGGUCUCGCCGCUCCUCAUGCGGACGACAUCAAACUCCUUGAGGAGAGUCUGCGCCUUGGCCUCACGGACGCGGGCAUCGCCGACCCGCAUGAUCUUGAUGGCAUCCCAUGCCUCCUUUGCCGUCGCCUUCACAGCAAGCGUGGAGUGCAUCUCCUCCGGCACGGCUCGCAGAAUUGCCGCAAGCGCCGCCCUGUCCUGGCUGAAGCUCCCGCCUCCCUCGAUGGCGUCCCACACGCGUUGGGCCUCCAUGUUCACCUUCAUGAUCAGCGACCACUCGAAGUAGUUCGUUGCCGUCAGCGGUGGGUAGACGACGGUGCUGCUGGCCUGGUGGACGACCUCUUGCUGCACCACCACCUCACAGCAGCCACGCCGCGUCGGGCUCCGGCCUCGGCGCACCACUGGGGAGGCCGAGACACGGCGCGACCCGGUGACGGAGUGCGCAAACCUUCAGUCACCAUGGCUCUGAAUACCAAUGUAAUCUCUGCCCAAGGUAGGAGAUGAACUCACGCACACAAGAUAGAAGAAGAGCACACAGGAGUUUUGGCACCGCACAACUUAUGCCUUCUCUGACUCUCUUUCUCUUAAGCAAAUGAACUUGUUACACAGCCUAUUAGUAGUGCACGUACACAAGCCAGUCACACCACGACUAGCUCCACUAGCCGGUACAAACGGCCACUAGUAAUCCCAUGACUUGGCCACACGACUCGGCCGAUCUCCCCACGUCUUGGAGAUAAGGACUGAUUACUAGGAUCACUUCUAGGCCAAUCUACCAACAAACUCUAUCCAUGCAUGUACGUGUGAUUCACUCCUCCUACUAUCCAGGCUUGCAACUAACUAACUCUUGGAUGCAGACUCACACGCAUACUUGGUGCCAUACAUACACAACACCAAGCUGACACCUCUAAACACGACUAACAAGCUUUGCAAUGUGUACACGUGACCACAUUUAUAAGUGUGCACAUGCCGCAGCUUCAUCUACAUGCAAGACUCGGAAAUAAAACAUGAUAAGAAACUAAACAACAAUGGUUAACACCAACACAGCGUCAGACCUCACCGCGCUGCUACCCAAGACCUCGCUGCGCCGCUGCCCAAGGCCGCACCGCACCAGCUGUCAGUGGUGCAUCUUUGUUCUUGUAUGCAC
rnacentral:lncRNA from 1 species